UCCUGCAGGAACAAGGUUGGAAUUGCUAAAUCAGCCUCUUUCCCAGGUUUUGGGAGACAGCCUUCUGCUCCAAGCUCUUGCCUACUUCAUCCUCACAGAAGAAAGUUGGCAAUCUCUCUCCUCAGGAAAGCAGCAGGAUGAAAGAAGCAGAUUUCAGCAGGUUCUCUGUUUCACCCCCUUACCAUCCAGCUAAACUUAGAUGGUGUCUUUCCUCUCCAUUUCUCCAUAACAAGCAUCCUGGACCUAAAACUUUCCUCUUCUUCAGCCAUACUGGGACAGGAAAUAUGAAGGGACUAAUUACCUGAGAGCACUGCCCAAACAACACCUGAGACACUCUGACCGACCCGGUGCCUCUCCUACUUCUCCUUCUCCAGGACAGUUAAAGGCACUGGAGCCUUUCUGAGCUGUGUACAGCACGGAUCAUACAAGAUGAUGCCCUAGAAAUUUAUUUAAAUAAAUCUUACACUU